rnacentral:rRNA from 1 species
ACGGGAGGCAGCAGUAGGGAAUUUUCGGCAAUGGGCGGAAGCCUGACCGAGCAAUGCCGCGUGAACGAAGAAGUAUUUCGGUAUGUAAAGUUCUUUUAUUUGAGAAGAAAAGACAGAUUGACGGUAUCAAAUGAAUAAGCUCCGGCUAACUACGUGCCAGCAGCCGCGGUAAUACGUAGGGAGCGAGCGUUAUCCGGAAUUAUUGGGCGUAAAGGGUGCGUAGAUGGCACGAUAAGUUUUCUGUUAAAAUGCUGGGCUCAACCCAGUAUCGCAGAGAAUACUGUCGAGCUAGAGUACUUGAGAGGCAAGUGGAACUCCAUGUGUAGCGGUAAAAUGCGUAAAUAUAUGGAAGAACACCAGUGGCGAAGGCGGCUUGCAAGCAAGAUACUGACAUUGAGGCACGAAAGCGUGGGGAGCAAACAGGAUUAGAUACCCUGGUA